CUGCCUUAGACAAAGGAUGUACUUGGAAGCCCACCACACCUAAAGCUACGCUUUGAAGGAUCUGCCAAGCUCACUUUUAUCAUGAGAAAGAAAUUACCCACAUGAGUCAGCAGAAAUGAGAAAGUAGAGCUCGUGCUGAGAAAAAUAUCUUCCGCAGCGCACAGCAGCCCAAGUUGAAGGAGAUGCCUUCCACGAAG
rfam:Tupaia belangeri cont1.087497, whole genome shotgun sequence.